CAUUAUUCAGUCGGGAUUUUUUAAAUAUACCUUAUACCACGUGGAAUUACGCUAACACCAUUAUGGCUGAAAACAGCACUACAGUAAGAUAUCUGGGAAGAUGUAACUUUCGUCUGACUGUUCAAAGAACACUUCAAAAGUCAUCGUCGUGUUAUCAAGCACCCGCAGGAAAAAGGGUUUAGCCCCUAAGGGCAUUUAUGCUACAUUGGAGAAUGACGCACCAGCUUUAUCAACAGUGAAAAAGUGGGCUGCCGAAUAUAGGAGAGGAAGAGAGAGUUAUAAAUAUGACACAAGGUCUGGACGUCCUUAGGCUUCCACCACCGAGGAAAAUAUUUAUUGUGUUCACCACGUGAUGAUGGAUGAGAGGUGAUUGACUAUGAAUCAAAUAGCCAAUGCUGUUAGCAUAUCAAGUAAAAGAGUUGAGAGCAUUUUGCUGAAUGAACUUAGCAUGACGAAAGCUGACCACAUCGUGGGAAAAUCUGACAUUGUUUGAGAUAGAUCCAGUUGAUUUCUUGAACAUUUUCUGACUCAGGAUGAGUGUUGACUCCAUCACUUUGAGCCAGAGGCAAAGAGAUAAUCCAUGCAGUGGUAACACUCUUCUUUCCCUACUUCAAGGAAGGCCAAGGUUAUUUCAUCUGCAGAUAGAUUCAUCACUAAAUUGCUGAAGUAGAAAUAUCGCUCCAUACUACAGAGUUGUUUUGUUGUCUUUGGUCGGUA